GUAAAGAUAAAUAAUAUUUUGUAGACUAAGGUUUAGCGAUGUGGUGUUCAUGAGUUUUUCAAAAUUUAGGGGAGAAUGGAUUUUGGAUGACGUCUGUUAUAUUAUCUCGAGGAAAUUUGCCGAGCCUCGCAGUCAUCAAAGGAAUCCAAUUUAAGCCCCUGUCAUUUCUCAGCGAUGAGAAUCCCGGACAUGCCCGGGAUCAAGGUUUUUUUCUAUCACGAAAACAGCCUUGCCAAAGAAUCCAAAGAAAUAGUAUGCCC